rnacentral:rRNA from 1 species
GAUGAACGCUAGCUACAGGCUUAACACAUGCAAGUCGAGGGGCAUCAUGGAGGCAGCUUGCUGUCUCUGAUGGCGACCGGCGAAUGGGUGAGUAACGCGUAUCCAACCUUCCCCAUAGUAGGGAAUAGCCCGGCGAAAGUCGGAUUAAUGCCCUAUGUUGUAUUAUGAGGACAUCUGAGCAAUACCAAAGAUUUAUCGCUAUGGGAUGGGGAUGCGUCUGAUUAGGUAGUAGGCGGGGUAACGGCCCACCUAGCCGACGAUCAGUAGGGGUUCUGAGAGGAAGGUCCCCCACAUUGGUACUGAGACACGGACCAAACUCC